GACGAACGCUGGCGGCGCGCUUAACACAUGCAAGUCGAGCGGUAAGGCUCCUUCGGGAGUACACGAGCGGCGAACGGGUGCGUAACACGUGAGUAAUCUGCCCUUCACUUCGGGAUAACCACCGGAAACGGUGGCUAAUACCGAAUACGACCAGUCUUCGCAUGAGGUGCUGGUGGAAAGUCUUUUCGGUGAAGGAUGUGCUCGCGGCCUAUCAGCUUGUUGGUGGGGUAAUGGCCUACCAAGGCUUCGACGGGUAGCCGGCCUGAGAGGGUGACCGGCCACACUGGGACUGAGACACGGCCCAGACUCCUACGGGAGGCAGCAGUGGGGAAUAUUGGACAAUGGGCGAAAGCCUGAUCCAGCAACGCCGCGUGAGGGAUGACGGCCUUCGGGUUGUAAACCUCUUUCAGUACCGACGAAGCGCCCUGUCGGGUGGUGACGGUAGGUACAGAAGAAGGACCGGCCAACUACGUG
rnacentral:rRNA from 1 species